CCUACGGGAGGCUGUAGUGGGGAAUAUUGGACAAUGGGCGAAAGCCUGAUCCAGCCAUGCCGCGUGUGUGAAGAAGGCCUUCGGGUUGUAAAGCACUUUCAGUGGGGAAGAAAGCCUUGGGGCUAAUACCCUCGAGGAAGGACAUCACCCACAGAAGAAGCACCGGCUAACUCCGUGCCAGCAGCCGCGGUAAUACGGAGGGUGCGAGCGUUAAUCGGAAUUACUGGGCGUAAAGCGCGCGUAGGCGGUCUGAUAAGCCGGUUGUGAAAGCCCCGGGCUCAACCUGGGAACGGCAUCCGGAACUGUCAGGCUAGAGUGCAGGAGAGGAAGGUAGAAUUCCCGGUGUAGCGGUGAAAUGCGUAGAGAUCGGGAGGAAUACCAGUGGCGAAGGCGGCCUUCUGGACUGACACUGACGCUGAGGUGCGAAAGCGUGGGUAGCAAACAGGAUUAGAUACCCGAGUAGUC
rnacentral:rRNA from 1 species